CCUCCUCGUCCCCGCGGGCCCCGCCCCGCCCCGCCCCGCCAGCGAGGGCGCGCUGACGUCACCCGCCCCCUGCCCGGCCCCGCCCCCUCCGGGGCCCCGCCCCCCUCCGGGCCCCGCCCCCCCGCCCGCCCCCCCGCCCCCCGCCCGCCCCCCCGCCCGCCCCCUGCCGGCCGUCCGGGGCGCGUCCCGCGGCGGAGGGUCCGGGGGCGGAGGGUCCGGGGGCGGAGCGGCGGCGGGGCGGGGCGGGGCGGGGCGGAGCGGGGCGGAGCGGGGCGGCGGAGGGCGGGGGGCUGCGGAGAACGGCGGGCGCCCAGCGAAGAGGGCGUGUGGGGUGCGGGGCGCGGCGCGGCGCAGGUCGGAGCGGGACGCGUCGGAGCCCGGGCAGGGCGGUGAGGUCAGCGAGAUGGCACUCAGUCAACUCCCCCACAAGUGGUCAGCUCCCCAGCCCGGUGCUCAACUGGUGAUCGAUGUCCAGCAUGACGCUCUGUCUACAGUUGGCGUCCAGCACGGUGCUCUGCCUGUGGCCGGGAUCCAGCGCCCAGUUGGCAUUCAGCCUAGCACUCGGCAUUUGGUGGGCAUCCAGCACAACGCUCUGCACACGAUCAGUACCCAGCAUGGUGCUCUGCCUGCGGGAGUGCCUAACGCCCCCAGCACCCAGCAAAGCGCAAGGUCAGUGCCUAGCACAGCACCCAGCACAGCACUCUGCACAGUCAGCACUCAGCACAGCACUCUGCCCACAAUCAACGCCCAGCACAGCUCCCUGUGUGUGGCCGGCACCUAGCUGUGCAUGAACUUGAUGCCCAGUUGGCGCUGAGGAUGUUGCCACUCUUGGGGAGCGACCCUCGUGACCUCAUUUUACAGGCCUCAUCUGUAAAAUGGAAAUUAAGACUGGGAGUCCUAUGUGGGACACGUCCGUGUCCAGCCUGAUUAGCUUUUUCUACCCCAUUGCGUAGUACAGUGCCUGGCACAGAGUAAGGGCUUAAUAAAUAACAUUUAAAUAAAGUGAAAACAUGGAACGAGGAGGCAAAGUGGUCUCAGUUCUCUUGAGAUUUUCCUCAGGUGCCCGGGCCCUGUGCUGUGAAUGAAUUGGGGAAAACUGAAGACAUUUGUUGUCAGAUAGAGAGGAGGAGAAAGUUGCCACUGUUGGUGGUUUCCGCGCCAACUGUUGCCAAGAGUAAAUGCUGGCCAUGGUAGCAGCCAGGUCCAGAGGGAGGCAGGAGCUGGAGAGCGGUUCUUUUCUGGGCCUCCUCGCAUCCCUGCUGGCCCUCCAUGCUUGCCCACCCCGAGUGGGAUGGGCACGGUUCGAGUCGGACAUAUAUGGCCAGAUGUGCGUACCCAGCCGAGCCUGGCUCAGCGAUCAAUCAGUCAAUCUGUCAGUGCUAUCUAUUGCAUUGUUACCGUGUGCAGACCACCGUACUGAGUGCUUGAGAGAGUUGGUAGACAUGUUUUUUUGUUGUUGUUUCUGGGUUUUUUGGUAUUUUUUAAGCACUUACUAUGUGCCAGGCACUAUACUAAUCACUGGGGUAGAUGCAAGGUAAUCAGGUUGGACAUAAGCCCCUGUCCCAUGCGGGGCUCACAGUCUUAGUCCCCAUUUUACAGGUGAGGUAACUGAGACACAGAGAAGUUAAGGUCACACAGCAGGCAAGUGGCAGAGCUGGGAUUAGAACCUAGUUCCCUUUGACUCUCUUCUGUUCCCUGUCCACAAGGAACUUACAUUUAGAAGGGGAGACUGAUAAUAAAAUACAUUAUGGUUAGGGACAUAAGUGUUAUGGGUGAAAUCCAAGGGCUUAAGGGGUGCAGAUCCAAGUGUGUGGACAACAUAGACGGAGAGGGAGUAAGAAAGAUAAACGUUUAGUCGGGGAAGGCCUGGAGGAAAUGUGAUUUUAAUAAGGCUUUGAAGGAGGGGAGAGUGGGGGAGCGUCUGCCAUAUAAGAAGGGGGAGGGAGUUCCAGGCCAUAAGGAGGGUGUGGGAGAGGGGUCAGCAGGGAACUAGACAAGAUUGAGGUACAGUGAGUAGGUUGGCAUUAGAGUGAAGCACCGGGCUGGGCUGUAGCAGAAAAUCAGUGAGGUAAGGUAGGAGAGAAAGAGCUGAUGGAGGGCUUUGAAGGUGAUGGUAAGGAGUUUCUGUUAGGUGCAGAGGUGGAUGGGCAACUGCUGGAAGUUCUUGAGGAGUGAGAAGAUGUGGAGCGAAUGGUAUUUGAGAAAAAUCACUUGAGAAAAAUGAUCCAUGCAGCAGAGGGCAGUAAGGACUGGAGCAGUCUCUGGUCAGGAGGCCCAGAGGUUUAGGCCUCACAGUUUUCUAGCCAGCCGACCACUGGCCGGCUCCCUGCUCCUCCCUGCCCCAACCCAGUUCUUUCCUCGUUUGCCUUCCCCUCAGCUCCACAGUGGCCGGACUGACUCACUCCUCCCUGAUCCUGUUCUCCUGUUCCCCCGCUGGCCCACGUGGGUUCUAGCAUCCACCACCGGUGCCCACAUGUGGGCAGCAUUUCAAAAGGGUCACUGAUCUCUUCUCUGGGAAUUAGGAGUCAAGCUUCCAUGACUCCUGGGAUCCUUGGGGUCUCAUUGGGCUUCCAGGAAAGGGGGGCCUGGUCUCCCUGCUGCUGCCAUCCCCUAGUGGUGCUGCUGUUUGAUGUUUGCCUCCAUGCAGAGGCUAGAUGCACACCCCUCCCCCCCCCCGCGCCCCGCCCCCCCCCGAUUUCGCUCCAGUCCCUGU
rnacentral:lncRNA from 1 species